AUUCUAAUGGGUUCGAGGAAAAUCUGCCGCGGAAGCGGAGGAUAUAUUAAAUUUAUGCCGACAUAUAGAAAAUCGUUAAUGUACUUACAACCUUCUGUUGAUGAUCUAGCACUACUUGUUGGUUGCAAUGGCGCUAUUCCCAGACCACGGCGAUCGGCACAUUUCCAUCCUUUCGCCGGCCCCCGUUGUAGCGGGCAGGGCGCGCAUGGGUUCGUUAAACUUGCCACCUUGCUUGCAGUUUUGUUGUCAUCGUACGGGGAAGGUGAACAUUUUUAAAAACAACACUGAGUUCCGGCUCAUAUCCAACUAAUCUGUUUUCCGCUUGCGUUCUCCGGGUGCGUUUCGGGUGUCUCGCCCUCACUUCUUAUUCGGCGAACGUCCGUCUGCGGCCGCUGUGUCCAUUGUCGAGAAUCGGCGUACACAAUUGAAUUUGUUUAUGUUCGCUUCCGUUCUGUCGGAUAUCCAUUCGAGCACACUUUCACAUCCAUUCCGUCCGCACGACAAAUUUACGUCGCGGCAACUUCGGAUUGGGAACUUUCUGACCGAUCCUAGCUCCCUCUGCUCUAUCGGACUAUUUUCGUUGGCCGGAAUUUCCGUGCUUCUGU
rnacentral:lncRNA from 1 species